rnacentral:rRNA from 1 species
GUAGGUGGCAAGCGUUGUCCGGAAUUAUUGGGCGUAAAGCGCGCGCAGGGCGGUUCUUUAAGUCUGAUGUGAAAGCCCACGGCUCAACCGUGGAGGGUCAUUGGAAACUGGAGAACUUGAGUACAGAAGAGGAAAGCGGAAUUCCACGUGUAGCGGUGAAAUGCGUAGAGAUGUGGAGGAACACCAGUGGCGAAGGCGGCUUUCUGGUCUGUAACUGACGCUGAGGCGCGAAAGCGUGGGGAGCAAACAGGAUUAGAUACCCUGGUAGUCCACGCCGUAAACGAUGAGUGCUAAGUGUUAGGGGGUUUCCGCCCCUUAGUGCUGCAGCUAACGCAUUAAGCACUCCGCCCGGGGAGUACGGCCGCAAGGCUG